rnacentral:tRNA from 1 species
GCCGCAAUAGCUCAGUUGGUAGAGCGUUACCCCUGUAAGGUAAAUGUGGUGGGUUCGAUCCCUACUUGCGGCA